rnacentral:rRNA from 1 species
AACGAACGCUGGCGGCAUGCCUAACACAUGCAAGUCGAACGAGACCUUCGGGUCUAGUGGCGCACGGGUGCGUAACGCGUGGGAAUCUGCCCUUGGGUUCGGAAUAACAGUGAGAAAUUACUGCUAAUACCGGAUGAUGUCUUCGGACCAAAGAUUUAUCGCCCAGGGAUGAGCCCGCGUAGGAUUAGCUAGUUGGUGGGGUAAUGGCCUACCAAGGCGACGAUCCUUAGCUGGUCUGAGAGGAUGAUCAGCCACACUGGGACUGAGACACGGCCCAGACUCCUACGGGAGGCAGCAGUGGGGAAUAUUGGACAAUGGGCGCAAGCCUGAUCCAGCAAUGCCGCGUGAGUGAUGAAGGCCUUAGGGUUGUAAAGCUCUUUUACCCGGGAUGAUAAUGACAGUACCGGGAGAAUAAGCUCCGGCUAACUCCGUG